GACGAACGCUGGCGGCGUGCCUAAUACAUGCAAGUCGAGCGGAUGAAGGGGAGCUUGCUCCCUGGAUUCAGCGGCGGACGGGUGAGUAACACGUGGGCAACCUGCCUGUAAGACUGGGAUAACUCCGGGAAACCGGGGCUAAUACCGGAUAACUUCUUUUCUCGCAUGGGGAGAGGUUGAAAGACGGUUAUGCUGUCACUUACAGAUGGGCCCGCGGCGCAUUAGCUAGUUGGUGGGGUAACGGCCUACCAAGGCGACGAUGCGUAGCCGACCUGAGAGGGUGAUCGGCCACACUGGGACUGAGACACGGCCCAGACUCCUAACGGGAGGCUG
rnacentral:rRNA from 1 species